rnacentral:rRNA from 1 species
CCCGUAUUGAGAGUACCCGAAGAAAAAGCAUCGGCUAACUCCGUGCCAGCAGCCGCGGUAAUACGGAGGAUGCGAGCGUUAUCCGGAUUUAUUGGGUUUAAAGGGAGCGUAGGCGGGUUGUUAAGUCAGUUGUGAAAGUUUGCGGCUCAACCGUAAAAUUGCAGUUGAUACUGGAUAUCUUGAGUGCAGUUGAGGCAGGCGGAAUUCGUGGUGUAGCGGUGAAAUGCUUAGAUAUCACGAAGAACUCCGAUUGCGAAGGCAGCUUUCCAGCGCGCUACUGACGCUGAGGCACGAAAGCGUGGGGAUCGAACAGGAUUAGAUACCCUGGUAGUCCACGCAGUAAACGAUGACUACUAGCUUUCCGGGGCGACUGUGUCCUGGGAGGCACAGCGAAAGCGUUAAGUAGUCCACCUGGGGAGUACGCCGGCAACGGUGAAACUCAAAGGAAUUGACGGGGGCCCGCACAAGCGGAGGAACAUGUGGUUUAAUUCGAUGAUACGCGAGGAACCUUACCCGGGCUUGAACUGCAGGAGAACGAUUCAGAGAUGAUGAGGUCCUUCGGGACUCCUGUGGAGGUGCUGCAUGGUUGUCGUCAGCUCGUGCCGUGAGGUGUCGGCUUAAGUGCCAUAACGAGCGCAACCCCUCUCCGUAGUUGCCAUCGGGUAAUGCCGGGCACUCUGCGGACACUGCCACCGUAAGGUGUGAGGAAGGUGGGGAUGACGUCAAAUCAGCACGGCCCUUACGUCCGGGGCGACACACGUGUUACAAUGGCGGCCACAGAGGGAAGCUACCCCGCGAGGGGAUGCGGAUCUCGAAAAGCCGUCCCAGUUCGGACUGGAGUCUGCAACCCGACUCCACGAAGCUGGAUUCGCUAGUAAUCGCGCAUCAGCCAUGGCGCGGUGAAUACGUUCCCGGGCCUUGUACACACCGCCCGUCAAGCCAUGGAAGCCGCGGGCGCCUGAAGUCCGUGAC